rnacentral:rRNA from 1 species
UGCGCAGGCGGACUCGUAAGUCAGUGGUGAAAGCCCGGGGCUCAACCCCGGAACUGCCAUUGAUACUGCUUGUCUUGAGUAUAGUUGAGGUGGGCGGAAUGUGUCAUGUAGAGGUGAAAUUCAUAGAUAUGACACAGAACACCAAUUGCGAAGGCAGCUCGCUAAGAUAUUACUGACGCUCAGGCACGAAAGCGUGGGGAGCAAACAGGAUUAGAUACCCUGGUAGUCC